rnacentral:rRNA from 1 species
GCUACGGGAGGCAGCAGUGAGGAAUAUUGGUCAAUGGCCGUAAGGCUGAACCAGCCAAGCCGCGUGAAGGAAGAAGGAUCUAUGGUUUGUAAACUUCUUUUAUAGGGGAAUAAAGGUAUCCACGUGUGGAUAUUUGCAUGUACCCUAUGAAUAAGCAUCGGCUAACUCCGUGCCAGCAGCCGCGGUAAUACGGGGGAUGCGAGCGUUAUCCGGAUUUAUUGGGUUUAAAGGGUGCGUAGGUGGUUUUUUAAGUCAGCGGUGAAAGUUUGUGGCUCAACCAGAAAAUUGCCGUUGAAACUGGAAGACUUGAGUGUGUUAGAGGUAGGCGGAAUGCGGGGUGUAGCGGUGAAAUGCAUAGAUAUAACGAAGAACACCGAUUGCGAAGGCAGCUUGCUAAGCCAUAACUGACACUGAGGCACGAAAGCGUGGGGAUCAAACAGGAGUAGAGACCCUAGUAGUC